GUAGAUUUUCUUUAUAUUGUUUUAGAUUUCAGAUUGAACACUUCAAUUUUCUAUAUGGGGGCAAUACUUUAGUGGUAUUUGUGUGGAUUUGGAUUUUGUAGAAUUAAUAUCUUGUAGACCAAAUUAUAGUUUAUGAAAAUGACCUGCAUUAGAAAAAUGGAAGUAGUUUGCAAUUGGAAACCUAGGAGGAGUAGCUGCCUAUUGGUGUGUAGCAUGAAAAUGGAAACGCGGAUACUGAGAAAUGCUGAAAUGGACAUGUGGAAAUGGUGUUUUAAAAAAUAUAGAAACGGAAAUGUGGGGGAAAUGCGUAAAUAUAAAAAAUAU
rnacentral:misc_RNA from 1 species